GACGAACGCUGGCGGCGUGCCUAAUACAUGCAAGUUGAGCGCUGAAGGUUGGUUCUUGUACCGACUGGAUGAGCAGCGAACGGGUGAGUAACGCGUGGGGAAUCUGCCUUUGAGCGGGGGACAACAUUUGGAAACGAAUGCUAAUACCGCAUAAAAACUUUAAACACAAGUUUUAAGUUUGAAAGAUGCAAUUGCAUCACUCAAAGAUGAUCCCGCGUUGUAUUAGCUAGUUGGUGAGGUAAAGGCUCACCAAGGGGAUGAUACAUAGCCGAACGGAGAGGGUGGGCGGCCGAGCUGGGACGGGGACACGGCCCAAAAGCCUACGGAAGGGAGCAGUACGGAAACGUCGGCAAGGGAAGAAAGGCAGAACGAGCAACGCCGCGGGAGUGAAGAAGGGUGUCGGAUCGUAAAAGUCUGUUGGUAGAGAAGAACGUUGGUGAGAGUGGAAAGAUCAGCAAGUGACGGUAACUACCCAGAAAGCGACGGCUAACUACGUG
rnacentral:rRNA from 1 species